rnacentral:rRNA from 1 species
CUUGGUCAUUUAGAGGAAGUUAAAGUCGGUAACAAGGUUUUCCGUAGGUGAACCUGCGGAAGGAUCAUUAUUGAAAUAAAUCUGAACAGGCUGUUGCUGGUCUUUGACAAGUGCACGCUUGUCGUCUUUAUUUUUCCAACUGUGCACAUAUUGUAGAUCUGGAGUUUUUAUUGCUUCAAAUAGAUUGAGGAGUUGCUGCAAAAGUCAGCUUCACCUUGUAUUUUCUAGGUCUAUGUUCACACAUUUUCACAAUGUUAUAGAAUGUAUUUGAGAACUGGAAUUAACAAAUAUACAACUUUCAGCAACGGAUCUCUUGGCUCUCGCAUCGAUGAAGAACGCAGCGAAAUGCGAUAAGUAAUGUGAAUUGCAGAAUUCAGUGAAUCAUCGAAUCUUUGAACGCAUCUUGCGCUCCUUGGUAUUCUGAGGAGCAUGCCUGUUUGAGUGUCAUCAAGUUCUCAACCACCAUGUGGCUUGGAUUUGGGGGUUAUUGUUUUGCAGGCUUCAUAUCAAGUCAGCUCCCCUGAAAAGCAUUAGUGGUAUCUGAGCAUAAACUACUAUAGGUGUGAUAACUAUCUAUGCCUUGGUAUAUAAUGCAUAAACAGACUACACUGCUUGCAAACUUUUAAAGUGACAGAUUUGACCUCAAAUCAGGUAGGACUACCCGCUGAACUUAAGCA